rnacentral:rRNA from 1 species
UACGGGGGGAGCAAGCGUUGUUCGGAUUUACUGGGCGUAAAGGGCGCGUAGGCGGCCUGUGCAAGUCAGUUGUGAAAUCUCCGAGCUUAACUCGGAACGGUCAACUGAUACUGCUCGGCUAGAGUGCGGAAGGGGCAACUGGAAUUCUUGGUGUAGCGGUGAAAUGCGUAGAUAUCAAGAGGAACACCUGCGGCGAAGGCGGGUUGCUGGGCCGACACUGACGCUGAGGCGCGAAAGUUAGGGGAGCGAACGGG